rnacentral:lncRNA from 1 species
GCCCCUCUUCCUGCUCUCGUACAGCAGACGUGCUCUCUUGGUGGGCAGUGGCUCAUUGGGGCGCUCCUUCCAGGGAGGCAGAGGGAUCUCCAGCAUGUCCUUCCCUGAGUCGCCCAGCGAGGCCCCGCUGUAGCCCCGUGGCACGCACAGCCAUGCCAGCACUGGGCGGCACAGGGUGCAGCGGGGCAGCGAGCACAGCUCCCAACCCUCCCUAUUGCCUCCGUCAGCCCGCAGCCCGUUCUCACCCGGCUCGUCGCCAUGAUUCCUCCCAACCCC